UGCUCCUUCGCGUGCUCUGCGCUGUUUACGUACGAUGCCGUUCGGACGUUUAUAACGAAAACGACCAAACGAACAACAGUGUCGUUGUCGUAUCGCCUUUGGCCGUCGCGUUGAUAUGUUACGAGGCUGUUCGCUCCGUGAACAGCACCAGCUACACAGUGGUCUGUCUGCGUGGGGAGGGGUUUGAUGGUAACGGGACGUUUCACACACACCAGGGUGACCUACGGCGUGUAAAGGUGUUUCUGUUCACGCUGCUCUCGUUGAAACUAUCCUGUGCACCAUGGGUGACUCCCAGGACAGUGACGAAGACCUUCUCUCACUCCCCGAUCCCGUGGUGUCCCCUCCUCGCACUCAAUGGUCAGUGCAGCUGUCCACCCUCCCACCCAAACUCCUGCACAGCCUAAUGUCCUUCCAGAAGGAAGGUGUGGAAUUCGCCUUGUCAAGGAAUGGAAG
ensembl:lncRNA